UGUGGGGGUCUGCCGGCCUCCUGGGCGCCACCCGGGGCCGUGGCCGACCCCGGUGGGUCCGAUCCGAGGACCUCACUAAACUAUCCAAUCGGUAGUAGCGACGGGCGGUGUGUACAAAGGGCAGGGACUUAAUCAACGCAAGCU